CGGGGUGUGGCUCAGUUGGUAGAGCGGGUGGUUUGGGACCAUCAGGCCGCAGGUUCGAAUCCUGUCACUCCGACCA
rnacentral:tRNA from 1 species